UCCCCGGUGGCUUACAUGGUAAAGAAUCUGCCUGCAAUGCAGGAGACCAGGUUCGAUCCCUGGGUGGGGGAA
rfam:TPA: Bos taurus chromosome 1, whole genome shotgun sequence.